rnacentral:misc_RNA from 1 species
GGCGAUCAGAGUAGCUAGCUAUUGGAUUCCGAAGAUGACCGUCCUUAUGGCCUAGAACAAAAAUGCAUCCUCCCGCAGUCUGUAAACAGAUAGCUUAAGUUGCUAGAGAAUGAAGUUUCUUUGGAGACACACACACAUAUUGGUAGAAGAGGGAAACUUCCUCUCUGGUCAAGCUCAACCCCUACAUGCAACAAAACACCAUAUCUUUGAUAGAUUGCAAGAUUCUUUUAAUGUGAACAACAUACUUGUAAGCCACAAACUUCAAACUCAAAACCACUUAUGUAUAACCCACCCGGCUGAAGGAAAGGAAGACCCACGUCUGAGCAAAGCAUGGAGGGCCAUUCCCGCCUGAAAAG